rnacentral:lncRNA from 7 species
AGCGGCGCUCGACGAGUAUGCGGUGGCGAUGGGGGAGCUGGCCCUGAAGCUGUUGGAGCUCAUCGCUCUGAGCCUGCACAAACCUGACCGGCUGCACAGAUUCUUCGGAGACGACCAGACAACAUUCAUGCCGAUCAACCUGUACCGCCACAAGGACAACAGCGCCUACGAUACGUACUGUUGGGCGGCUUCUGCUGGUUGGAGAGUGCUAUUCUUCGAUUCGGGAUCUAGGCGUCCUUUGGUCGCCUUGCAGUGCCUUCCAGAGGCUAGAUUUUCCAGGCGCUCAGUAUCUACACACUAAUGUUUGUAUCUUUGGUUAAUUCUGUUGGGUUUUCUGCUAUCCCGGCUUUUAGUAUGGAGUUCCUUCAUUGAAAAUUGAGGCGCAUGGCAGUAAAGAAUUGCUUUCGAG